rnacentral:rRNA from 1 species
UACAGAGGGUGCAAGCGUUAAUCGGAAUUACUGGGCGUAAAGCGUGCGUAGACGGUUGCGUAAGUCAGAUGUGAAAGCCCCGGGCUCAACCUGGGAAUUGCAUUUGAGACUGCGUAGCUAGGGUGCGGAAGAGGGAAGCGGAAUUUCCGGUGUAGCGGUGAAAUGCGUAGAUAUCGGAAGGAACACCAGUGGCGAAAGGCGGCUUCCUGGUCCAGCACCGACGUUCAGGCACGAAAGCGUGGG